UUGUUUCUUGAGAUUGGUUUAAGUGCCGUUUCUGGUUUUCAUUCUUCUUUCUGACUACCCACAACCCAAAAUAAGUUGAACCGUCUCCCACAACUGGUACUCUGAGCAUGGCUGCAAUCAUCAACAAGAGCACUCAUCGAGACAUACUGCCUUCGCCUAGGGAUAAUUCAGCUGGUAGUGGCCAGGAAGAUGGAGGCUCUCGGGAUUUUGAAUUCAAGCCUCAUCUCAAUUCUCAAUUGGCGGUAUGGAACCAUUAUUGGAAUGAUUAUUUUUGUAAUUCUCUAGCACCAUAGAACACACAUCUUGAGGGUCUUGUUUAUAUGUGAGCUACCCCAAAAAAAAACUUUAUCUUGUAUAGCAGCAAAGGGAGUUUAAGCAUUUUGUUUGUAUGAUAUCACUAAAAUAUAAUGUAGAAAUUAUCUUUAAGCUCUGAGGAGGGAAGUUAUAUUUCUGAUGUACUUUACACCA